rnacentral:lncRNA from 1 species
GGACUUCUCUUGCUGGGCUCUAGCACCUUAUCUGUGGGACCACCUGCCAUUUCUUCUGCCAGGGGCUCUUUAACACAACUGGGGCAGUUUUCUCAUCCUCUCACUCUUUGUAUAUUUGACACUAUCAUGCUUUAGAAUAAAAUCACCUCUUCAGACAAGAUUUUCAUCAGGUGAGUCCCUCAGAUGUACUCCUUGCCACAGUUUUUUCUUCAGUGUAUCAUUAUUUAAUAUAUGCACUUAUUAUCUGUUUGUUUGUUUAUGUGACUCCCUCAGUAGAGUAUAUAGCUCUUUAGGGCAUAUUCCACACCUUCUUAAUCAUCAGUAUUUCCUGAGAGCCUAGCAAAUAACAAGCACAUCAAUGUGUUCGGUACAGGUAAACAUGUGGAAAGAAGACUUAUAGCUAAUAUUCUAAUGUCUAAACCCCAGUAAGCCCUCCAUCCCUUCCCCCACCAGCAUGUAUAUCCUAAUUUUCCUGUCUUUUCUGCAGCUAAGGUUCUAGGGCUCAGCUUUAUCACAGGCACACUGAGUUCUACCCUAUUUGCUUAUCAAGCCUGUCUUUCUUUCAAACUUUGAUUUCUGCCUAUAGUAUUCAAGGUUUACCUCAAGUAUC